UCUCCGUAGGUGAACCUGCGGAGGGAUCAUUACAGAGUUCAUGCCCUAACGGGUAGAUCUCCCACCCUAUGUUAUCAUCUCUUUGUUGCUUUGGCGGGCCGUCAGGCCUCGGCUUGGCUACCGGCUCUCGCUGGUAAGCGCCCGCCAGAGAACCCCAAACCCUGAAUAUCAGUGUCGUCUGAGUACUAUAUAAUAGUUAAAACUUUCAACAACGGAUCUCUUGGUUCUG
rnacentral:misc_RNA from 1 species